rnacentral:rRNA from 1 species
GACGAACGCUGGCGGCGUGCUUAACACAUGCAAGUCGAACGAUGAACUUGGAGCUUGCUCUGGGGGAUUAGUGGCGAACGGGUGAGUAACACGUGAGUAACCUGCCCUGGACUCUGGGAUAACUUCGAGGAAUCGGAGCUAAUACCGGAUAGGACCUUGCACCGCAUGGUGUGGGGUGGAAAGUUUUUCGGUUUGGGAUGGACUCGUGGCCUAUCAGCUUGUUGGUGAGGUAAUGGCUCACCAAGGCGUCGACGGGAAGCCGGCCUGAGGGGGUGACCGGCCACACUGGGACUGAGACACGGCCCAGACUCCUACGGGAGGCAGCAGUGGGGAAUAUUGCACAGUGGGCGCAAGCCUGAUGCAGCAACGCCGCGUGCGGGAUGACGGCCUUCGGGUUGUAAACCGCUUUUAGUAGGGAAGAAGCCUUCGGGUGACGGUACCUGCAGAAAAAGGACCGGCUAACUACGUGCCAGCCGCCGCGGUAAAAC